CGGCGUGCCUAAUACAUGCAAGUAGAACGCUGAAGAGAGGAGCUUGCUCUUCUUGGAUGAGUUGCGAACGGGUGAGUAACGCGUAGGUAACCUGCCUUGUAGCGGGGGAUAACUAUUGGAAACGAUAGCUAAUACCGCAUAACAAUGGAUGACACAUGUCAUUUAUUUGAAAGGGGCAAAUGCUCCACUACAAGAUGGACCUGCGUUGUAUUAGCUAGUAGGUGAGGUAACGGCUCACCUAGGCGACGAUACAUAGCCGACCUGAGAGGGUGAUCGGCCACACUGGGACUGAGACACGGCCCAGACUCCUACGGGAGGCAGCAGUAGGGAAUCUUCGGCAAUGGGGGCAACCCUGACCGAGCAACGCCGCGUGAGUGAAGAAGGUUUUCGGAUCGUAAAGCUCUGUUGUAAGUCAAGGACGAGUGUGAGAGUGGAAAGUUCACACUGUGACGGUAGCUUACCAGAAAGGGACGGCUAACUACGUGCCAGCAGCCGCGGUAAUACGUAGGUCCCGAGCGUUGUCCGGAUUUAUUGGGCGUAAAGCGAGCGCAGGCGGUUUGAUAAGUCUGAAGUUAAAGGCUGUGGCUCAACCAUAGUUCGCUUUGGAAACUGUCAAACUUGAGUGCAGAAGGGGAGAGUGGAAUUCCAUGUGUAGCGGUGAAAUGCGUAGAUAUAUGGAGGAACACCGGUGGCGAAAGCGGCUCUCUGGUCUGUAACUGACGCUGAGGCUCGAAAGCGUGGGGAGCGAACAGGAUUAGAUACCCUGGUAGUCCACGCCGUAAACGAUGAGUGCCAGGUGUUGGAUCCUUUCCGGGAUUCAGUGCCGCAGCUAACGCAUUAAGCACUCCGCCUGGGGAGUACGACCGCAAGGUUGAAACUCAAAGGAAUUGACGGGGGCCCGCACAAGCGGUGGAGCAUGUGGUUUAAUUCGAAGCAACGCGAAGAACCUUACCAGGUCUUGACAUCCCGAUGCUAUUUCUAGAGAUAGAAAGUUACUUCGGUACAUCGGUGACAGGUGGUGCAUGGUUGUCGUCAGCUCGUGUCGUGAGAUGUUGGGUUAAGUCCCGCAACGAGCGCAACCCCUAUUGUUAGUUGCCAUCAUUCAGUUGGGCACUCUAGCGAGACUGCCGGUAAUAAACCGGAGGAAGGUGGGGAUGACGUCAAAUCAUCAUGCCCCUUAUGACCUGGGCUACACACGUGCUACAAUGGUUGGUACAACGAGUUGCGAGUCGGUGACGGCAAGCUAAUCUCUUAAAGCCAAUCUCAGUUCGGAUUGUAGGCUGCAACUCGCCUACAUGAAGUCGGAAUCGCUAGUAAUCGCGGAUCAGCACGCCGCGGUGAAUACGUUCCCGGGCCUUGUACACACCGCCCGUCACACCACGAGAGUUUGUAACACCCGAAGUCGGUGAGGUAACCUUUUGGAGCCAGCCGCCUAAGGUGGGAUAGAUGAUU
rnacentral:rRNA from 1 species